rnacentral:rRNA from 1 species
UGAGGAAUAUUGGUCAAUGGGCGAGAGCCUGAACCAGCCAAGUAGCGUGCAGGAUGACGGCCCUAUGGGUUGUAAACUGCUUUUAUAUGGGAAUAAAGUGAGGGACGUGUCCCUUAUUGCAUGUACCAUACGAAUAAGGACCGGCUAAUUCCGUGCCAGCAGCCGCGGUAAUACGGAAGGUCCAGGCGUUAUCCGGAUUUAUUGGGUUUAAAGGGAGCGUAGGCUGUUUGUUAAGCGUGUUGUGAAAUGUAAGAGCUCAACUUUUAGAUUGCAGCGCGCACUGGCAGACUUGAGUGCGCACAACGUAGGCGGAAUUCAUGGUGUGGCGGUGAAAUGCUUAGAUAUCAUGACGAACUCCGAUUGCGAAGGCAGCUUACGGGAGCGCAACUGACGCUAAAGCACGAAGGUGCGGGUAUCGAACAGG